rnacentral:snoRNA from 1 species
UAUGUUAACUGAUGUCAAAACAUGAGCCUGUUCUGAGUGACAGAAGUGUGCUACAUGGCAGGAUUUUCGCUAACACUAGUAGAGCUUGCGUCUGUGACUGGAGUUUGAUAGUGGUCACUGCCACAUAC